CUUCCGUAGGUGAACCUGCGGAAGGAUCAUUACCGAGUGUAGGGUUCCUAGCGAGCCCAACCUCCCACCCGUGUUUACUGUACCUUAGUUGCUUCGGCGGGCCCGCCAUUCAUGGCCGCCGGGGGCUCUCAGCCCCGGGCCCGCGCCCGCCGGAGACACCACGAACUCUGUCUGAUCUAGUGAAGUCUGAGUUGAUUGUAUCGCAAUCAGUUAAAACUUUCAACAAUGGAUCUCUUGGUUCCGGCAUCGAUGAAGAACGCAGCGAAAUGCGAUAACUAGUGUGAAUUGCAGAAUUCCGUGAAUCAUCGAGUCUUUGAACGCACAUUGCGCCCCCUGGUAUUCCGGGGGGCAUGCCUGUCCGAGCGUCAUUGCUGCCCAUCAAGCACGGCUUGUGUGUUGGGUCGUCGUCCCCUCUCCGGGGGGGACGGGCCCCAAAGGCAGCGGCGGCACCGCGUCCGAUCCUCGAGCGUAUGGGGCUUUGUCACCCGCUCUGUAGGCCCGGCCGGCGCUUGCCGAACGCAAAUCAAUCUUUUUCCAGGUUGACCUCGGAUCAGGUAGGGAUACCCGCUGAACUUAAGCAUAUCAAU
rnacentral:rRNA from 1 species